CCGAGUGAGGGCCUCUGGCCCGACCUCCAACCCUUUGUUAUCCAAACCAUUGUUGCCUCGGGGGCGACCCGCGCCCGUCGGCGUUGGGGCCCUCGAUGGACCAUCCCAAAACUCUGCAUCUUUGCGUCGGGUUUAAAAGUUUAAUUGAUUA
rnacentral:misc_RNA from 1 species